AGUCCUGCUCCUUCCCGGUUACGUCCCUUCCAGCCCUUGGCGGAGUCUGCGGGCGAGAGGGCGCAGGUGCAGAGGUGCCGCCGGCGGCGUGCGGCUGCGAAGGAAGGGACCCCGACACCGAGCGUUCCUGCGGACGCUCCUCAACCGGGGGUUGUUCUCCGUGCUCUGGACCCGGCCCUUCCUCACCUAGGACGUCUCGCGGUGCACUGUCCCCCUCUCUCGGGCGACUUUUCCCCCACCUCCAAGUAGUGAUCAAGCUCAGAAUCCAGCUCGCGCCCGCUGUGCACCUAGCACUUCCCACCUGUAGUCUUUUGACCUCAUCGCCCCCUCUAGAAGGCUGCUGCCAUCGCUUAAAUGAGGAAGCCGAGGUGCAGAGAGGUUUCAGACCUAUUGCGGUGGAGCUGGAGUUCGAGAACCAACCACUCGGUGCUGAGACGCGCUUGCGGAACGGGCGGCGGGCGGGGGUGAAGCGGAGUGAGGGGAGAGGCCAGGUGCGACCCGGGCAGGGGUAUUUAGUGAGCACUUACUGUUGCAGUAAGACUCUAGCCAAGGAAGACGAAGAGACAGUUGGAGACCAAAGAGAACUUCAAUUCGGGCACCCGAGCCUAGAGCAGGCUCAUGCCCAAAAUGGCUACCGACCCAGACAAAGAAAGCAGGCUUGCUUAUAUGUCGUUUCAGGCGUGAAAAACAAGGCAGGAUACAAGUUUCAGACAAAGACAGUAAAUUAUUCAACCUGUGACAAUUCUGAGAAAACUUACAUUUAGUUAUCUUGACCAGUCAACCUUGAAGCUGGACAGAGCUGGGGUAAGGGAAAACAGGAAUUACGGAAGUAUGAGGGAGUCGCGAGGCCGGAGAUAAGCUUGGAAGGUUGAGAUAAGCUCGCAGGUGCAACUUCUUAGCAAUGCUGAGAGUGGCUGCUUAAAUUUCUUAGCCUAUGUAUAACUUCUAAAUAGCCUACACUAAAUGGUAACUAUUACCUAUGUUGUGUUUGUUAUUUUAAACUUUAAUGUUAUUUAUUUUAUUUCAUUUUCCUUCCACAUUACCUCUGCUGUUAGCAGCUUUGAGAAAUGCUGCUAUAGGAUGUGGGAAGUCAUUAAAGGAUUUAAGCAGGGAGAGGCAAGAUCAGAUUAACAUUUCAGAAAAAUAUUUACUGUUUUCCAGCUGAAACUAGUAGAGUACAAUUUACUUUCUGGUCACAGCACACAGCAGUCACAUCCUGGAGGAACUGUACUUCUCUAAGAUCUAGUCUGUCCUGUGGUUUAAAUGACCUUUAGCAAAUUGUCUUUAUUACUUUGUACACUGCUUUCACCAGUCUGCUCUUCCAUGGCUAACGGGGCAGAACUGUUAUUUUUAGGGUUUUCCACAUCCAGUAUGUUCAUAAGAUUUCUACCCUGUGUGAACUUCCAGAUGUCGAAUAAAGGCUGGAUGCUGACCAAAGACCUUUCCACAUUUUUUACAUGUGUGUAGGGUUGCUCACCAGUAGUAUUCCCCUGAUGCUUCAUAAUGGUUGAUCCCAGAGAGAAUGCCCUUUCACACUCAUUACAUUCAUAGGGUUUCUGUCCAGUGUGAGUUCUGUGAUGGGAAAUUAGGUUAGAACUUUAAACAAAGGCCUUUCCACGUUUGUUACACUGAUAAGGCUUAUUUCCAAUGUGGAUUCUUUGGUGUUACACAAGAUUAGAGCUGUAGUUGAAGGUUUUCCCACACUCUGCCUUCAUAGAACUUGUCUUUAUAGUGAAAUCUCUGGUGUUUUCUAAAUUGUGUUAGUCCUUCUUAAGGCUUACCAUGUUCACUACACUACACAAUUCCUCUCCAUGGUAACUAUUUGGGUGCUCAUUAAAGGCUGUACUCUGACGUUCUGCAUGUUUUUGAGAUUUCAUUAGGAUGUGGGCUUUCUGGUGAUUGUUAAAAUGUGAGUUAUCUGAAGCUGUGUCCAGAUGAAUUACGUUGAUAGGUUUUCUCUUUUGUGGGAACAUUCAGAUAUGCUACAGGGUUUGAG
rnacentral:lncRNA from 1 species